rnacentral:pre_miRNA from 1 species
UUCUUUGGUUAUCUAGCUGUAUGAGUGAAUUUUAACAUCAUAAAGCUAGCUUACCGGAGUU